AUUGAACGCUGGCGGCAGGCCUAACACAUGCAAGUCGAGCGGAGCGGCGGACGGGUGAGUAAUGCCUAGGAAUCUGCCUGGUAGUGGGGGAUAACGUCCGGAAACGGGCGCUAAUACCGCAUACUAUCAGAUGAGCCUAGGUCGGAUUAGCUAGUUGGUGGGGUACAGGCCUACCAAGGCGACGAUCCGUAACUGGUCUGAGAGGAUGAUCAGUCACCCUGGAACUGAGACACGGUCCCGACGCCUACGGGAGCCAGCAGAGGGGAAUAUGGGACACGGGGCCAAAGCCUGGUCCAGUCAUGACGCGUGUGUGAAGAAGGUCUUCGAACUUUAAAGCACUUUAAGUUGGGAGGCGUGACCAACAGAUUAGGCACCGGCUAACUGCGUGCCAGCAGCCGCGGUAAUAC
rnacentral:rRNA from 1 species